rnacentral:misc_RNA from 1 species
GAAAUUCUUUUCGCGUCUCUGACUGUAAGGAGCUUCUGUGAAGUAUCCAUUAUUCCAACACGCGUUUUGCAUCUCAACGAAUCAAUAUAUGCGCGAAUCGACAAAGAACGUAUAAAGUAAACAACUUGCAACUUACGAACCGGAAUAUAGAUCGAUACGGUGGAACUGGAAAUAUGAAAGUAAGAAAAUUGAAACAAAAUAUUUACCGGGAAAUGUUACGGCAAAAGCGAUACGAAGAAGGUAAUUAAACUGUCAGGCGUGCAGAUAUCUUGUUGUCCGCGAACGAAGAUAAAUGCAUCCAAUAAUCUCUAUAUUAAUCCUAAACGUUGUAACAAAUCCAAAGCAUUUGUCAAGCGAUUUGAAUUAAUUAAAACAACCACUUGUAGCUGAAUAUGACUAGUUUCCUUAACGCUAUAACGAACCUCCAGCGGCACACGGCAACGUGCUCUCCUUUAACUUUCAAUUUCAUCGCGACGCUCGAAACCAGAUAAAUGUAAGUUCGUAGAAACGCGAUCACGAGUUUACCACAAAUCUGUGCAAACAGAAAUAAAGAUUUACCAAUUAGGAGGUCUUAUUAUCUAAAAAGGACUCAAUAACGAAGAGAGAACAAUGCGCAAGGCUGUAAAAUAAAUUUGAACUGCGAUAAAUCCUGACAUUUAAGCUGACUUUAACAACCGAUGACUUAGUUCCAUUGACCUAACCAAACAUCCACGAAAUCCCAUUUCCUAGACUAUAAUUCUCCACGAUAAGGAGCCUGUCUCGAAACGACAAACAAAAAACCCGUAAACUGCUCGGAAACAAUUUCGCUUCUCGACAAUUUACGUUCUCCGAUUUA